rnacentral:lncRNA from 1 species
AUAGCAUUAUUUAAAUAUUUGGUAAUGAUAAUUUUAAAAAGGCAUUUUUUAUCAUUGAAGAAGCAGAGAAAAGCUUGGAAACAACCCAGGUGCAAUGGAGAUGGUUGCUUUUGACUGGAGCCAUUCUGCAAGUAGCCGAUGAAGGAAGUCCUCUCCUAGCAAGGGACACUAGGUUUUCUUCCUCUAUUGGAGCUGGCCAGCCAAUACUACCAAGCUGAUCAGUGUGGUGUGGCUCCAGAGACAAGUUUGAUAUAUGCCUUAAACAGAAACCUGGGCUAACUCACUAGAAUGGAUAGCAGAUCUAGUCAGCAGGAAGAGGGGAAGAAAGGACACCAGCACUUUCUGAAAUAGAGCAGAAAAUUGGGGUCGUUCUCUUCUUACUGUCCUGUCCUGCUCAACAGUUCACACUCAAACAAGCAGAAGUGUUCAUAUUUCUGGAACCUACUCAGCAUUUCAGAUUUUUGGAUGAUGAAAGAGGAGAAAAAGCUUCAGUUGGCACUUACAUUUUUUGACAUCGAAGCUACUCACAUGUAAGAUCCAAAUUAAAAGAAAAUCAGCUUGUUAAGAAAAAUAUAUGGACAUUUUUUUAACACUGAAACAAUUGUUUAAAUUUUGGCUUUGGCAAGGGAACCCGUAAAGCAUCU